GUCCACAGCCAUGCUACCCAGAAUGUGCCCGAUCUCAUCUGAUCUCAGAAGCUAAGCAGGAUCGCGUUAAUCCUUGGAUGAGAGACCACCUAGGAAUACCAGUGUUGUAGACA
rnacentral:rRNA from 1 species